rnacentral:rRNA from 1 species
UACGUAGGGAGCAAGCGUUGUUCGGAUUUACUGGGCGUAAAGAGUGCGUAGGUGGCUAUACAAGUCAAGGGUGAAAUCUCUACUUUCAAGGUAGAAACUGCCUUUGAUACUGUAUGGCUAGAGGACAAGAGGGGGAAAUGGAACUCUGGGAGUAGCGGUGAAAUGCGUAGAUAUCCAGAGGAACGCCAGUAGCGAAGGCGGUUUCCUGGCUUGUUUCUGACACUGAGGCACCAAAGCUAGGGGAGCGAUCGGGAUUAGAUACCCCCGUA